AACAAGCACAAUAUUGAAAGAGUUUUACAAACAAUUAGAAAGCUCUAAAUAAGCAAAUAUGACAAUGAUAAACAAUAGAACCCGGAAGAAUCCUUUUGCCGUUGGAAGCGUGGGAAAUGGUGAUUCUUCCGAUGUGGAUUGCGUAGGUUUGAGUGUGAGCUUUGAAUCCCGGGCGGAAGAGAGUAGUUGAGCUUGAAAUCACUUGGGAAGCUUGAAAGCACUUGAUUUCUUCACUUGAAUGCACUAACUCCCUUGAACCUCUUUUUCUU
rnacentral:lncRNA from 1 species